rnacentral:rRNA from 1 species
GGUUAAGCGACUAAGCGUACACGGUGGAUGCCCUGGCAGUCAGAGGCGAUGAAGGACGUGCUAAUCUGCGAUAAGCGUCGGUAAGGUGAUAUGAACCGUUAUAACCGGCGAUUUCCGAAUGGGGAAACCCAGUGUGUUUCGACACACUAUCAUUAACUGAAUCCAUAGGUUAAUGAGGCGAACCGGGGGAACUGAAACAUCUAAGUACCCCGAGGAAAAGAAAUCAACCGAGAUUCCCCCAGUAGCGGCGAGCGAACGGGGAGCAGCCCAGAGCCUGAAUCAGUGUGUGUGUUAGUGGAAGCGUCUGGAAAGGCGCGCGAUACAGGGUGACAGCCCCGUACACAAAAAUGCACAUGCUGUGAGCUCGAUGAGUAGGGCGGGACACGUGGUAUCCUGUCUGAAUAUGGGGGGACCAUCCUCCAAGGCUAAAUACUCCUGACUGACCGAUAGUGAACCAGUACCGUGAGGGAAAGGCGAAAAGAACCCCGGCGAGGGGAGUGAAAAAGAACCUGAAACCGUGUACGUACAAGCAGUGGGAGCACAGAGCAAUCUGUGUGACUGCGUACCUUUUGUAUAAUGGGUCAGCGACUUAUAUUCUGUAGCAAGGUUAACCGAAUAGGGGAGCCGAAGGGAAACCGAGUCUUAACUGGGCGUUAAGUUGCAGGGUAUAGACCCGAAACCCGGUGAUCUAGCCAUGGGCAGGUUGAAGGUUGGGUAACACUAACUGGAGGACCGAACCGACUAAUGUUGAAAAAUUAGCGGAUGACUUGUGGCUGGGGGUGAAAGGCCAAUCAAACCGGGAGAUAGCUGGUUCUCCCCGAAAGCUAUUUAGGUAGCGCCUCGUGAAUUCAUCUCCGGGGGUAGAGCACUGUUUCGGCAAGGGGGUCAUCCCGACUUACCAACCCGAUGCAAACUGCGAAUACCGGAGAAUGUUAUCACGGGAGACACACGGCGGGUGCUAACGUCCGUCGUGAAGAGGGAAACAACCCAGACCGCCAGCUAAGGUCCCAAAGUCAUGGUUAAGUGGGAAACGAUGUGGGAAGGCCCAGACAGCCAGGAUGUUGGCUUAGAAGCAGCCAUCAUUUAAAGAAAGCGUAAUAGCUCACUGGUCGAGUCGGCCUGCGCGGAAGAUGUAACGGGGCUAAACCAUGCACCGAAGCUGCGGCAGCGACGCUUAUGCGUUGUUGGGUAGGGGAGCGUUCUGUAAGCCUGCGAAGGUGUGCUGUGAGGCAUGCUGGAGGUAUCAGAAGUGCGAAUGCUGACAUAAGUAACGAUAAAGCGGGUGAAAAGCCCGCUCGCCGGAAGACCAAGGGUUCCUGUCCAACGUUAAUCGGGGCAGGGUGAGUCGACCCCUAAGGCGAGGCCGAAAGGCGUAGUCGAUGGGAAACAGGUUAAUAUUCCUGUACUUGGUGUUACUGCGAAGGGGGGACGGAGAAGGCUAUGUUGGCCGGGCGACGGUUGUCCCGGUUUAAGCGUGUAGGCUGGUUUUCCAGGCAAAUCCGGAAAAUCAAGGCUGAGGCGUGAUGACGAGGCACUACGGUGCUGAAGCAACAAAUGCCCUGCUUCCAGGAAAAGCCUCUAAGCAUCAGGUAACAUCAAAUCGUACCCCAAACCGACACAGGUGGUCAGGUAGAGAAUACCAAGGCGCUUGAGAGAACUCGGGUGAAGGAACUAGGCAAAAUGGUGCCGUAACUUCGGGAGAAGGCACGCUGAUAUGUAGGUGAAGUCCCUCGCGGAUGGAGCUGAAAUCAGUCGAAGAUACCAGCUGGCUGCAACUGUUUAUUAAAAACACAGCACUGUGCAAACACGAAAGUGGACGUAUACGGUGUGACGCCUGCCCGGUGCCGGAAGGUUAAUUGAUGGGGUCAGCGCAAGCGAAGCUCUUGAUCGAAGCCCCGGUAAACGGCGGCCGUAACUAUAACGGUCCUAAGGUAGCGAAAUUCCUUGUCGGGUAAGUUCCGACCUGCACGAAUGGCGUAAUGAUGGCCAGGCUGUCUCCACCCGAGACUCAGUGAAAUUGAACUCGCUGUGAAGAUGCAGUGUACCCGCGGCAAGACGGAAAGACCCCGUGAACCUUUACUAUAGCUUGACACUGAACAUUGAGCCUUGAUGUGUAGGAUAGGUGGGAGGCUUUGAAGUGUGGACGCCAGUCUGCAUGGAGCCGACCUUGAAAUACCACCCUUUAAUGUUUGAUGUUCUAACGUGGACCCGUAAUCCGGGUUGCGGACAGUGUCUGGUGGGUAGUUUGACUGGGGCGGUCUCCUCCUAAAGAGUAACGGAGGAGCACGAAGGUUGGCUAAUCCUGGUCGGACAUCAGGAGGUUAGUGCAAUGGCAUAAGCCAGCUUGACUGCGAGCGUGACGGCGCGAGCAGGUGCGAAAGCAGGUCAUAGUGAUCCGGUGGUUCUGAAUGGAAGGGCCAUCGCUCAACGGAUAAAAGGUACUCCGGGGAUAACAGGCUGAUACCGCCCAAGAGUUCAUAUCGACGGCGGUGUUUGGCACCUCGAUGUCGGCUCAUCACAUCCUGGGGCUGAAGUAGGUCCCAAGGGUAUGGCUGUUCGCCAUUUAAAGUGGUACGCGAGCUGGGUUUAGAACGUCGUGAGACAGUUCGGUCCCUAUCUGCCGUGGGCGCUGGAGAAUUGAGGGGGGCUGCUCCUAGUACGAGAGGACCGGAGUGGACGCAUCACUGGUGUUCGGGUUGUCAUGCCAAUGGCACUGCCCGGUAGCUAAAUGCGGAAGAGAUAAGUGCUGAAAGCAUCUAAGCACGAAACUUGCCCCGAGAUGAGUUCUCCCUGACUCCUUGAGAGUCCUGAAGGAACGUUGAAGACGACGACGUUGAUAGGCCGGGUGUGUAAGCGCAGCGAUGCGUUGAGCUAACCGGUACUAAUGAACCGUGAGGCUUAACCUUACAACGCCGAAGGUGUUUUG